rnacentral:rRNA from 1 species
AUGCCUCGCCUCUACCCCACCACGCCCAUGCUCCGCCUCCUCCCCCUGCCUUCACGCCGCUGGGAUCCCCGCGGGGCCUUUGCCUCAGCCACGGAGCGCGCCCGCGCCGGGACGCUCAGCCCUGAAGACGCACACCACCUGUUCGACGAAUUGCUACUACAGGCCAACCCCGUCCCCGAGCGCUCCCUCAACGGCUUCCUUGCCGCGCUCGCCCGCGCUCCGUCCUCCGCUGCUCUCAGAGAUGGACCCUCCCUUGCUCUCGGCCUCUUCAACCGCGUCUGCCGAGAAGAAGCAGGACCGCGGGUGGUGCCGCCCACAGUCUGCACAUACAACAUCCUCAUGGACAGCUGCUGCCGUGCACGCCGUCCGGACCUAGGCCUUGCCUUCUUCGACCGCUUCCUCAGGAUGGGCCUCAAGGCAGACCAGAUCGUCGCCAACAACCUCCUCAAGUGCCUCUGCCACGCAAGACGGACACAUGAGGCUAUCAACGUGCUGCUUCAUAGGAUGUCUGAGUUCGGAUGUGUGCCUAAUGUCAUCUCAUACUCUAUAGUACUUAAGAGCUUAUGUGACGAUAGCAGGAGCCAGCAAGCGUUCGACCUGCUCCAGAUGGUGAGGAAAGAAGGAGGUGCCGGCUCCCUCAAUGUGGUGGCGUAUAGCACAGUGAUUCAUGCUUUCUUUAAGGAAGGGGAAGCAAGCAAGGCAUGUGAUCUAUUCCAUGAGAUGAUGCAGCAAGGGAUUGUGCCUAAUGUGGUGACAUAUAGCUCGAUUAUUGAUGCCUUGUGCAAGGUCAGGGCAAUGGACAAGGCAAAGUUGGUCCUUCAGCAGAUGGUUGAUAAUGGUGUUCGACCAAAUAUGUAUACAUGGAACUCAUUCAUGUACUCCCUUUGCAAGAAUGGAAGAAGCAAAGAAGCUGCAGAAUUUUUUGACUCCAUGACCCCCAAGGGCCUUAAACCUAAUAUCGUCGUGUACUCUACUCUUCUUCACGGGUAUGCUAGCGAAUGA